rnacentral:tRNA from 1 species
UGGACCUUUAGCUCAGCUGGUUAGAGCUCUCGGCUCAUAACCGAGUGGUCGUAGGUUCAAGUCCUACAAGGUCCAUUUG